GGCUAGAGUUUGAUCAUGGCUCAGGACGAACGCUGGCGGCGCGCCUAACACAUGCAAGUCGAACGGGGUUGAGAGGAGCUUGCUUUUCUUGACUUAGUGGCGAACGGGUGAGUAACGCGUGAGGAACCUGCCUCAAAGAGGGGGACAACAGUUGGAAACGACUGCUAAUACCGCAUAAGCCCACGGUCCCGCAUGGGAGAGAGGGAAAAGGAGCAAUCCGCUUUGAGAUGGCCUCGCGUCCGAUUAGCUGGUUGGUGAGGUAACGGCCCACCAAGGCGACGAUCGGUAGCCGGACUGAGAGGUUGAACGGCCACAUUGGGACUGAGACGCGGCCCAGACUCCUACGGGAGGCAGCAGUGGGGAAUAUUGCACAAUGGGGGAAACCCUGAUGCAGCGACGCCGCGUGGAGGAAGAAGGUCUUCGGAUUGUAAACUCCUGUUGUUGGGGAAAAAGAGGAUGGUACCCAACAAGGAAGUGACGGCUAACUACGUGCCAGCAGCCGCGGUAAAACGUAGGUCACGAGCGUUGUCCGGAAUUACUGGGUGUAAAGGGAGCGCAGGCGGGUAUGCAAGUUGGGAGUGAAAUACAUGGGCUCAACCCAUGAACUGCUCUCAAAACUGUGUAUCUUGAGUAGUGCAGAGGUAGGCG
rnacentral:rRNA from 1 species